rnacentral:lncRNA from 1 species
CAAGCCCAAGAGCUAGAAAUGUCUUUUCAUUCUUGAACAGAAAUUGCACUUUUAAUGGAAUCACAUGAAGUCAGAAGCUGUGACUUUAUGAAAAUACUCUAAAAGCUGUGAGGUCUCGGCAAUGAUGCCCACAGGGAAGGGUCUCUGGGGAGUGCAGCAGAACAGUCCCCCUGCACCCCAACAUCCCCAGCCCCAUUGCUAGGUGCAUGCUGGGACUGGUGUUCCCUCAUUUUCCUCUUUUUAAAGAGAUUCCCUUCUGUAGAAGGCCCUUCUCAGACUGUGCUUGACUGUCCCAUUCUGUGUUCACUCUCUUCUGGGUUCCUCUGCACGACCAGAAGAAUAACUACAGUUGUUGCAUCCUAGUUCCUCCCCUUACAUUGUGAUGGCAAGCCCAGGUCCAAUUCCAUUCCUACUGCACUGUCCAUACUUUGUCUUUCCAGAGCACUGUCACAUUCUCUAAGCCUAAUUCUGAAAAAUCUAAAUUGUACUCACAGGGGAAGUAAGCAGAAGAUCCUUCAGCUGAGAUUACAUGGGCUAAUCCCAGUAAUAAUGAUCUGUGAAGGGAUAUAAAAGAUCAAAUGUCGGAUAGAGAAUAGGAAAACUGAAGAUACGGGUGUUCACCAAGAAAGGAGCAGAGCUGUAAGCUCUUCUUAACAAGUUUUCAAAGCAGAUGUCUUUAAAUCCUCCACAAAACCACUGAACUCCUGCCAUUUCUGGAGACCUGGUGUUUCACGGGAAGAAGAGAAGAGGCAGGCAGGCCAGGAUCCCACUCCCCUCACACAUUAAAUGCAUACACAUACACGUGCACAACGCUUCUUAAAAUGAAUGAGUCUACAUAAAGAUUGGCUUUCAAUUUGUCCAAUAACCAUUGUGGUACACAACAAAUUUAAGCCUGCACAAUUGGACAUAUUUUACUUGCUGUACAAGCAGAGAUAUCAGCGAGAGACUGGCACGAAGAGGAGGGACAGGUUCUCCCAGCAAGCAAGGACAGAUUGCUUCUGUUUUUUUGUUUAGUCUUUUCAACAGGAGAAAAAUAAUACCCAGCACCUUGUUAUUAGCAGUGCAAUAAAAAAAUCUAAUCAUGUGAAAUUCA